rnacentral:rRNA from 1 species
AGCGAACGCUGGCGGCAGGCCUAACACAUGCAAGUCGAACGAACUCUUCGGAGUUAGUGGCGGACGGGUGAGUAACACGUGGGAACGUGCCUUUUGGUUCGGAAUAACUCAGGGAAACUUGUGCUAAUACCGAAUGUGCCCUUCGGGGGAAAGAUUUAUCGCCAUUAGAGCGGCCCGCGUCAGAUUAGCUAGUUGGUGAGGUAACAGCUCACCAAGGCGACGAUCAGUAGCUGGUCUGAGAGGAUGACCAGCCACACUGGGACUGAGACACGGCCCAGACUCCUACGGGAGGCAGCAGUGGGGAAUCUUGCGCAAUGGGCGAAAGCCUGACGCAGCCAUGCCGCGUGAAUGAUGAAGGUCCUAGGAUUGUAAAAUUCUUUCACCGGGGACGAUAAUGACGGUACCCGGAGAAGAAGCCCCGGCUAACUUCGUG